rnacentral:rRNA from 1 species
CAUAGCGACUAUCGUGGCAUAUCAAUAAGCGGAGGAAAAGAAACUAACAAGGAUUCCCUUAGUAACGGCGAGUGAAGCGGGAAGAGCUCAAAUUUGAAAUCUUCAAGGUUCUACCUUGACGAAUUGUAGUUUAUAGAAGUGUUUUCUGUUAGUAGAGUGGCAAAAGUUCUUUGGAAUAGGACAUCAUAGAGGGUGAGAAUCCCGUAUUUGGUCAUUCUUUCUAGCUUUGUGAUACACUUUCAACGAGUCGGAUUGUUUGGGAAUGCAGUCCAAAAUGGGUGGUAAAUUUCAUCUAAAGCUAAAUAUUGGCGAGAGACCGAUAGCGAACAAGUACCGUGAGGGAAAGAUGAAAAGAACUUUGAAAAGAGAGUUAAACAGUACGUGAAAUUGUCAAAAGGGAAGCGUUUGACACCAGUGUUGUUUUUCCGAAAAUCAAUUACGAAUGUUUUAUUUUUGAGAAGUUAUGACUUCAUCGGCUUGCUUCUCUCUUUAUGAAACUUUCUUAAUGCACUUUUCGGUUAACAAGUCAACAUCAAUUUCUUUUGUUGUAAAAGGGUAUGAGGAAGGUGGCUUUCUUUUCGGAGAAAGUGUUUAUAGCCCUAUACUUCUACAAUCGGAGAGAUUGAGGUCUGCAGCGUAGAUCCUUCGGGGUUAGAUACAUUUGUGCUAAGUUAUAGCUUUUCAUAGACAACUUGUUGACUAUGAUUUAGUCUUGUAGCUUACUCGCUUAUGCUAUUUUACCUACGCUUAGGAUGUUGACGCGCGUGUGUGCGUG